CAGUAGCCGCGGGAAUACGGAGGGGGCUAGCGUUGUUCGGAAUUACUGGGCGUAAAGCGUGCGUAGGCGGUUCGUUAAGUCUGCUGUGAAAGCCCCGGGCUCAACCUGGGAAUGGCAAUGGAUACUGGCGAGCUAGAGUGUGUCAGAGGAUGGUGGAAUUCCCGGUGUAGCGGUGAAAUGCGUAGAGAUCGGGAGGAACAUCAGUGGCGAAGGCGGCCAUCUAGGACAACACUGACGCUGAGGCACGAAAGCGUGGGGAGCAAACAGGAUUAGAUACCCCCGUAGUCCCUGUCUCUUAUAA
rnacentral:rRNA from 1 species